GGGAGUACGGGGGCAAGGCUGUAACUCAAAGGAAUUGACGGGGGCCCCGCACAAGCGCCGGAGCAUGUGGUUUAAUUCGAAGCAACGCGAAGAACCUUACCAGGUCUUGACAUCCUCUGAAAACCCUAGAGAUAGGGCUUCUCCUUCGGGAGCAGAGUGACAGGUGGUGCAUGGUUGUCGUCAGCUCGUGUCGUGAGAUGUUGGGUUAAGUCCCGCAACGAGCGCAACCCUUGAUCUUAGUUGCCAUCAUUAAGUUGGGCACUCUAAGGUGACUGCCGGUGACAAACCGGAGGAAGGUGGGGAUGACGUCAAAUCAUCAUGCCCCUUAUGACCUGGGCUACACACGUGCUACAAUGGACGGUACAAAGAGCUGCAAGACCGCGAGGUGGAGCUAAUCUCAUAAAACCGUUCUCAGUUCGGAUUGUAGGCUGCAACUCGCCUACAUGAAGCUGGAAUCGCUAGUAAUCGCGGAUCAGCAUGCCGCGGUGAAUACGUUCCCGGGCCUUGUACACACCGCCCGUCACACCACGAGAGUUUGUAACACCCGAAGUCGGUGGGGUAACCUUUUUGGAGCCAGCC
rnacentral:rRNA from 1 species